ACCUGUUCUAUUGGAAAUCUACCAAGACUUCCUAUACUUAAAUUGUCUCCUAUUCCAACUUACCUUGGAAAGUCUUCCAUUGGUGCUGAUGGCCAAAGAAGCUGUUGUAUUCUGAGACCUUCUAAGGAUACCACUAAGGACACUUACUGUGAUCUAUCAACAUUUUCUCAAGACUAUAGCUAAGAGAAAAAGUGAUUUUCCCAGGAAAUGAAUGCAGAGUCAAAUCAGAACUGGUGUGCUCACUCCUGGACCAAACAACUCUCCUGAUACCAUGCCAUACUAACAAUCUAUUGUUAUUUACCUGGAUUCCUCAAAGAAGCCAAAUAUAUGUAAGAAGAGUUAAAAGCUGAAACUAUAUUGCCUAUUACAAUAUGUUACAGUAAUGCCAUAUGAGCCUUAAUGUUAAUAAAAAGAGUGAGAUCA